rnacentral:rRNA from 1 species
CUUUUACAAUGAAGAGUUUGAUCCUGGCUCAGGAUGAACGCUAGCUACAGGCUUAACACAUGCAAGUCGAGGGGCAGCAUUUCGCUAGCAAUAGUG